UGGUCUUCAAUGUGCAGAAGGUCAGACUAGAUGCUCACAAUGGUCCCUUCUGAUAUUAAAGUCUCUGAAUUUAUGUAGUCAUUGGUAAUGAAAAAUCUAAUUUUCAACAACAAAGAAAUUACAAAUCUUGAUCAAGUUUAUUCUUUUGCAGAACAACUCCAGCUUGAAAAUGAUCAAAUACAGUUGGAGAAAGUGCUACGAACACUGAG